rnacentral:antisense_RNA from 1 species
CUUCAGCGAGCCCAUCCACAGCGGCUGUUCCCGGUCCUGCCCGUAGGUGGCGAUGAUUGCCUGGGCUUC